rnacentral:rRNA from 1 species
UACGGAGGGUGCGAGCGUUGUUCGGAAUCACUGGGCGUAAAGGGCGUGUAGGCGGUCUGCUAAGUCUGAUGUGAAAGCCCGGGGCUCACCCCCGGAAGGGCAUUGGAAACUGGCGGACUCGAGUCCCGGAGAGGAGGGUGGAAUUCCUGGUGUAGCGGUGAAAUGUGUAGAGAUCGGGAGGAACACCGGUGGCGAAGGCGGGUCUCUGGGCAUUCCCUGACGCUGAGGCGCGAAAGCGUGGGGAGCAAACGGG